AGAGUUUGAUCCUGGCUCAGGACGAACGCUGGCGGCGUGCCUAAUACAUGCAAGUGGAGCGGACCGAACAGGAGCUUGCUCUUGUUUGGUUAGCGGCGGACGGGUGAGUAACACGUGGGUAACCUACCCGUAAGACCGGGAUAACUCCGGGAAACCGGAGCUAAUACCGGAUAACACCAAAGACCGCAUGGUCUUUGGUUGAAAGGCGGCUUCGGCUGUCACUUACGGAUGGGCCCGCGGCGCAUUAGCUAGUUGGUGAGGUAACGGCUCACCAAGGCGACGAUGCGUAGCCGGCCUGAGAGGGUGACCGGCCACACUGGGACUGAGACACGGCCCAGACUCNUACGGGAGGCAGCAGUAGGGAAUCUUCCGCAAUGGACGAAAGUCUGACGGAGCGACGCCGCGUGAGCGAAGAAGGUCUUCGG
rnacentral:rRNA from 1 species